GAUGAACGCUGGCGGCGUGCCUAAUACAUGCAAGUCGAGCGAACAGACUAGUAGCUUGCUCCUCUGACGUUAGCGGCGGACGGGUGAGUAACACGUGGAUAACCUACCUAUCAGCCUGGUAUAACUUCGGGAAACCGGCGCUAAUCCCGGAUAAUAUAUUGAUCCGUAUGGUUCAAUAGUGAAAGACGGUUUUGCUGUCACUUAUAGAUGGAUCCGCGCCGCAUUAGCUAGUUGGUAAGGUAACGGCUUACCAAGGCGACGAUGCGUAGCCGACCUGAGAGGGUGAUAGGCCACACUGGAACGGAGACACGGUCCAGACUCCUACGGGAGGCAGCAGUAGGGAAUCUUCCGCAAUGGGCGAAAGCCUGACGGAGCAACGCCGAGUGAGUGAUGAAGGUCUUCGGAUCGUAAAACUCUGUUAUUAGGGAAGAACAAAUGUGGAAGUAACUAUGCACGACGUGACGGUACCUAAUCAGAAAGCCACGGCUAACUACGUG
rnacentral:rRNA from 1 species